UUUGACCGAUACCUAUGGCUGGUCACCCAAACCAGUAGGGAUUUAACUUGUCUUCGACAAGCGGCUGUACAGAGUACAUCACCGUAUCCCUCAUAACUAACCUUUGUUUCGCUCUGUAGCACGGUAUCGCUGG
ncrna:unclassified sequences EFASI RNA